UGCCCUGCUUCCAGGAAAAGUCUCUAAGCAUCAGGUAACAUCAAAUCGUACCCCAAACCGACACAGGUGGUCAGGUAGAGAAUACCAAGGCGCUUGAGAGAACUCGGGUGAAGGAACUAGGCAAAAUGGUGCCGUAACUUCGGGAGAAGGCACGCUGAUAUGUAGGUGAAGUCCCUCGCGGAUGGAGCUGAAAUCAGUCGAAGAUACCAGCUGGCUGCAACUGUUUAUUAAAAACACAGCACUGUGCAAACACGAAAGUGGACGUAUACGGUGUGACGCCUGCCCGGUGCCGGAAGGUUAAUUGAUGGGGUCAGCGCAAGCGAAGCUCUUGAUCGAAGC
rnacentral:rRNA from 1 species